rnacentral:rRNA from 1 species
AUGCCUGAAAAGGGGAAUCAGAUAUUGAAAUCAGCUGAGAAAGUUUUAUGUCGUCCACUGUCAGAAAAAUUUUCAUCAACUAUCGAGAAAGACAGUUUUAAAAUGGCUUUAGUUAUUUUUGCCAUGGGUCACUUGCUUGCACCAACCAGCAAGCAUGAUGCUGCUACAAUUGAUUAUUGGGCAGCAUUAGUAAACCCUGAGAGAAUAUCUGAUUUCAAUUGGUGCGAGUAUGUAUUACAAGAUUUGUUGAAAGCUGUAACCAAGUUAAAAGCUGACAUGCUGAACAACCGAGCCAUCACACACUUAGAAGGUUGCCAUAUUUUCCUUCAGGUUUUCUACCUUGAUAAUGUUGACUUAGGAAUUUUCAACAUGUCACACAACACACUCCCAAGGAUAUUGGAUUUCGAUCUGUCAACUUUUCGUGGGAUGAUCCUCCAGUGCAGCAGCCCUUCAAAGAACACGGAAGAUUAUUCCAAAGUCUAG